rnacentral:rRNA from 1 species
AUGGCCGCUAUUUUCAUGGCUGGCACGCAACCAGUGUUAAACUCCUCGACUGCUGCGGCCAUGACGAUCGGCUCAACUGCCGUUGCGACGGCUGGGGUGAGCGGCUCUGCGCGUCCGCCGGCUCAAGUCUUACCUGAACUCUUAGAUGCUUUGGCGACUCUGUUGGCCACAGAGGUGACUCUGGCAAAUCAAGUACAGCAUAAUGCGGAGGUUGCAAAGUUGCGGGAUGAGGUGGCCAAGGCCCGAGAGGACCUUGAAGCAGAGAAUGUUAGGAUGGCCAUGGAACGAGCCGCCUUGGAGGUCGAGACGCAGUGGAUAAGGGCAUAG